GACAACCCGAGAGAUCGGGCGGUUCCCCUUCGGGGGGACAGGGUGACAGGUGGUGCAUGGUUGUCGUCAGCUCGUGUCGUGAGAUGUUGGGUUAAGUCCCGGCAACGAGCGCAACCCUCGACCUUAGUUGCCAGCAUUCAGUUGGGCACUCUAAGGUGACUGCCGGCUAAAAGUCGGAGGAAGGUGGGGAUGACGUCAAAUCAUCAUGCCCCUUAUGACCUGGGCUACACACGUGCUACAAUGGGCGGUACAAAGGGUCGCGAACCCGCGAGGGGGAGCCAAUCCCAAAAAGCCGCUCUCAGUUCGGAUUGCAGGCUGCAACUCGCCUGCAUGAAGCCGGAAUCGCUAGUAAUCGCGGAUCAGCAUGCCGCGGUGAAUACGUUCCCGGGCCUU
rnacentral:rRNA from 1 species